UACUUAGGGUGCAAGCGUUAAUCGGAAUUACUGGGCGUAAAGCGUGCGCAGGCGGUUAUGUAAGACAGGUGUGAAAUCCCCGGGCUUAACCUGGGAACUGCAUUUGUGACUGCAUAGCUAGAGUACGGUAGAGGGGGAUGGAAUUCCGCGUGUAGCAGUGAAAUGCGUAGAUAUGCGGAGGAACACCGAUGGCGAAGGCAAUCCCCUGGACCUGUACUGACGCUCAUGCACGAAAGCGUGGGGAGCAAACAGG
rnacentral:rRNA from 1 species